UACGUAGGUGGCAAGCGUUGUCCGGAUUUAUUGGGUUUAAAGGGUGCGUAGGCGGUCUAUUAAGUCAGUGGUGAAAUAUGGCAGCUCAACUGUCAAGGUGCCAUUGAUACUGAUGGACUUGAGUGAAGUCGAAGUAGGCGGAAUUGACGGUGUAGCGGUGAAAUGCUUAGAUAUCGUCAAGAACACCGAUAGUGAAGACAGCUUACUAGGCUGUAACUGACGCUGAGGCACGAAAGUGUGGGGAUCAAACAGG
rnacentral:rRNA from 1 species